UGACGGACGGUGAGUGGCAGCGGGGCUGAGGGGGAUACGCGGCCUUGUUGGAGUGGGAGGUCUUGGCCGUGAGCUGGUGGGGGGUCCCUAAUCCUGGCGGAGGGGUUUCCAGGCUGAAGGGAUAUUCGGCGCUUCCUAGAAACGCUCUCUACCAGGCUUCGGUCCUGCAGCGGCACAAACUCGGGCUCCCCAAGCGCUGGUAGCGUGUGGUGCGGCUGGUGGCCCGGUCCAAGGCGCAGUAAGAGGGGCUGCGCAGAAGGAAGCGGCUGUGGGUUGCAAGACAUGUGGUGAAUGUAUCUCUAAGGGGAAGAAAUGCCUGUAAGGAGACUGUUCAGAAUGAGGUGUACUUGGGAUUUCCCACCUUCUGCUUCUGUGGUGCCUGGCAGAGAUCACUUUCAAGAUCUUGAGAACGCCAUGGAGCCGCCUGCAGCUUGCAAGCUGGGGAAGUCUUGGAGGAAGAGGAGAUGAUGCAGAGAGUGAAAAGGAGGAGAGAAACAAUCCCUGGCAAAAAAUUCCCCAGGGCACUGUGGAGGGCAGCAGGGCAGCUUGCAGACCCUGUCUAAGCCCAGCCCAAUCCCUGGGGCUCCUUUCAGGGCAGCCUUAGGACCCCAGCUAAGCCCAGCCCAAACCCUAGGUCUCUGGAGGGCAGCACAGCAGCCCUUGGACCCUGGCUAAGCCUGGCCUAGGCCUUGGGGCUCUCUGGAGAGUAGCAGGGCAGCUUGCAGACCCUGUCUAAGCACAGCCUGGGCACCAGGGCUCUUUCAAGGGCAGCUUGCAGACUCCACCUAAGUCUGGCCAAAUUCUUGGGCUCUCUGGAGGGCAGCAUUCAGACCCUGGCUAAGCCUGGCCCAAACUCCCGGGCUCUCUGCAGGGCAGCCCUCAGACCCCGGCUAAGCCCGGACCAAGGUUGGGCUGUGCGGGGCCCGCUGCCACCCCCGGUACUGUCACACGCACCAGUCGCGCAUGUGCAGUGCCGCGACCGGGCCCAGGCCUGCGGCGGGGGUGGUGCAGUGUGCGCAUGCGCACCACGUGCUGACGGCGUCCGACCACCCCGGCUCGCUGCGGGCCCAGGUCCGUGGCCACCCGCAGGACACAUGCACGGUGCGCUCGGGGCGGUGGCUCGCCCAUGCGCAUUGAGCUCGGGGCGGUGCGGCGGCUCCCGCUCACGCAUGCGCAGUGUGCUGAGGUGGUGCAGCCCGCUUGGGGCUCCUGAGGCGCGGUGGCUGCAAGCUCCCGGUUCGGGGCUCCUCGGGCGCCCCGGGAUGUUCACACCAUCUCCGGAGCUGCAGUCUUUGGUACAGCCCUCUCUGAACUCCCCAGGUUCUCUCAGAUUCCUUCCCGAGGCCCUCAUUUUUUUUCCUCUGAGCCGCCUUUUGUCUCUGCCCCCUUCAGGACGUCCCUACUCGUGAUGCCUGCUGAGUUCUUCCGUGUGCACCACAGCCGUCUUUUAUCUCUGUAGCUCCCUUUGGAUCUCUCUUGUUCUCUAAGAACCCCUUCUCUGUUAUUUUCUGUGCCCUGGAGCAGUGUUUGUCCCCUGUGCAUCUAGGGUGACCGUUCAGCCCCUUGCUCCCUGGUGCAGGUGUACCCCGCUCAGACCCCACCCCGAGUCCAUCGCUGUCCCCCCCAAGCAAGGGAAGGUCAGGGACACCCACAGCUCUCAGUCCUGGCUGCUUCUGUGCUGGAGGCCCAAGGUGGCUGGCCUUCAUUUGGGACCUGCUGAGGCUGAGGGAGCAAGCGCAGAGCCCCAUAACACCCUCAGCCCAGCACAGCACAGCCCCUUCCCAGGGUGCUUGGGGGGGCCCCGCUGACCUCCAGUGCUCCCUGGGGCUUUUACUGGGCUUUGCUGGGGUACAGGCAGAGCCCUGUGUCCCUCCGGAGCCCCCCAGGUCCUUUCCUGGGCUUGCACGCAAGGAGUCUGGCUUUUCUUCACAAUACCCUGUGUCCUUUUCCGUGUGUUGCCAAAGCCAGGGCAGGGGCUCUCCUGCCCUCCAGAGUGUCCCGGGGCUUUCUCUGGGCUUCGCUGAGGAGCUGUGCAGAGCCCUGCUGCCCUCCAGAGUGCCCAGGGGCCUUAUCCAGGCUCUCCUGGGGCCCCAGCAGUGCAGCGCUGCCCUCCCAAGAGCAGCAGAGCCUUCACAGGGCCUUGUCGGAGACCCAGCAGAGCCCAACUUAGCUCCAGAGUGCCCAGCAGGUUUCACUGGGCUUUGCCAGGCCCUGUGCAGAGACCUGCUGCCUUCCAGAGAGCACCCAGGUCUUUGCCAGCCUUUGCAAGGGUCCAGGCCAGGCCCUGCUGUCAUCCAGAUUUUCUUGGCACCUUUGCCAGCCUUUGGAGGGGCCUGGGCAGCGUCGUGCCCUCCAGAGAGCCUUCUCCGGGCUUAGCCUGGGCCUGGGCAAUGCUUGCUGUCCUUACAGGGCAUCUGGGAGAAGGGCUCGUUCAGUUCAUCUCACGCAGUGAUAUUCCAUCUUGCUCCAGCUGAUGGCACAAUUGGGAGUGUGUAGAACAGAGGUUUUUUCCCAGGAAGAUAGAUGGCAUGUUGGACAAAGUCCCAGUUCUCCUGCUCAACAGCUUGUACAGCGUGGGUCUCAGCCUCGCACCAUGCCAGUAUUCCCACCAAUAAUGAGUUCAGAGAAGAGCCUGUUUCUUAUAAAAUGAGAAAAUAAAUACAAGCCAGGCCAAGUCACUAGGUCAGAGAUGAGACAAGAGUUAUCUGCAGGACAAGCAACCAGCAGUUUGAGGCUGUAAAGGACUUCCAGCCAUAGGAAUGAGCUCCCACCAGCAGGAGUUAAUGGCACGUCAGUUCACAGGAGAGCUUCCUUCCAUAGCACAUGUGUGUUUGAGGCAAUAAUCCCUCCAGGGUUUCAGCUCCUUCUGUGCCUAACUUACAGCUGUGUAACCUUCCAAACACACAGCAAAGGCAUUUUUCUCUGGGAAAGUGUCAGCUCCCUUUGGCCUCAUGCUGACAAUCGGCCAUUGUGUGUCCAUUGGUGAUCCAAAGCGCACUAAGAGGGACUCCAAACUGGCUGGGCUGAACACCUGGGUUUUCCUGGUGCUGCUGUAUAAGCCAGACAGCCUUUGGGUUAAUACUGUGGUGUAUGGAGCAAAAUCGGCUCUCUGGGAUGGGAGGUUUGUGCCGUUUAGAGCAACGAGUGGCUCAGUAACGUGUGUAGGUUAGGAAUGCACAUUUACAAGGUCUUGCAAUGGCAACAGUUGAUUAUAUGUACGGGGAUGAAAGUCCACCUGUCCACCUCCUGAUUUUCUUUGCAUUUUGUGGAUUCUGUUGUUUGAGGAAGACAAGACGUUAUUUAUAUUACUUAUUUCAGGGAGGCAGAGUUGCUUAAUACUUAAAAGCCAGGACCAAUUAUUUUUCUUCCUGGCUCUGUCACUUGCAUCAGUGUAUGACCUUAGGGAGGACAUCAGCUUUGCUGUGAAAUUUCCAUAUCUUUAGGAUGAUGAUAAUAACUAAUUCCUUACAGGAUGCUGGAGUGGAACUAGCUAAUAUUCAAAAAGAUCUCUAAGCUUUUUGUUGAUUCACAGCAACAAAAUCAAUAUCAAAAUCAAUAAAGCCAUUGCUUGUAACAAAAAGUUUGCUUUCUAAAAUCAGUUUUAAACGGCAUAAACUCCCCAUUCUUUCUAAAAUGCAAUGGCAAAUUAAUGAGAGCUUUUACAGGAUGGUUCCUGUCAUCUGAACAUCUGCUGACGCGGAAGUCACGGACACAGCACACGACCAAUAUGAUCAAGCAAAUGCCAGUUUAUUACAGACACAGCGUGGUUAAUAUAGCUCUGCAACCACCUUAUCACACACAAGCCUCUACUGUUUAUUAUACACAAGCCUAUUGUUAGUUGGUCAGCACGGCCUUGGGCUUUAUCCCAAGGAUAGCCACUAGCAGCAUCGGCAACUCCCGCCUUGUUUUGCUACGCUGUAACGAGACACUCCCGCCAGUGGUAUGGGAUGCGGCCCCUGUUGACAGAGUAGCACCUGUGGCUAACCUUGGAAUGUGCAACUUAUCAGGAAGACGUAAUGCCAUCCCACACGUUCCCACAGUAAGCUCGUACCAUGCCGCUUUGUAAGUCUUGGGAAAUACAGAAUCACAUUUGUUAGUAAUAGCUACAUACAUUGGUUUUAACUCGCAACAUCCUUGAGGCCUUCUUGUUCCCAGGCAGAUUAAGUCCACGUAGUCCGAGCCUGGAUUGUUCACUACGUGUCCUUUGCUUUCCAGAUAUCCCACAAAUAUCAUGUGUAGUUUUUGUUUGUUUUCUCUUUGUACCUUCUUUAUAAGAAAUCUUUGAAUUUGGAUUCUGAUUUAAAAAUGUCCUUGGCAGGGCAGUUUUUUAUUGUUGCCUGGCAGCUCUCAAAAGUUUCACAGAUGUUUCUCAAUCAUUUACAUUCAAGUUUUAUUUCUGCAGUUUCCUCUGUAACCAAAAUACACCACUUUAUUAAUUUC